ACCAUAAAUGUAUAACGCCAUAUCCGCUAGGAUCGUAGCUUGCUAGCUUGCAGCGUCUAAGUACACGUGUUAUUGAAUUAUAUAAUUGCUUAGUUUUAUUUACAAGUGAUAAAAAAUAUUAAUACAUUAAGAAAAAAGUCUCUUGAACAUAAUAUAAAGAGCGGCAUAGAUCAUGGUGGGGUCACGUGUCUAUGUUGGUGGCCUACCCUUCGGAGUACGGGAAAGAGAUUUAGAAAAGUUCUUUAAAGGAUUUGGAAGAAUCAAAGACAUUCUCAUCAAGAACGGUUAUGGAUUUGUGGAAUUUGAAGAUUAUAGAGACGCAGAUGAUGCUGUCUAUGAAUUAAAUGGGAAAGAAUUACUUGGAGAAAGGGUGGUGGUGGAGCCGGCGAGGGGCAUCGACCGCAGCGCGGACCGCUACCGCCGCGACCGCUACUACGAACGAGACCGCGGCCGGUCGCGAUACGAUGACUACAAUUACAGAUACGGCCCGCCGACGCGCACGGAGUAUCGACUUAUCGUCGAAAAUCUGUCUAGCCGCAUUAGCUGGCAGGUAAGAGACUGAGCAGAAUGGAAAGUCCAUCAUCAUCCCAUCACAAUCACUCAGGGUUUGGAGCUACACGGUCAUGAGGGCUGGGCGUACACUACCAGGGUCGUUGGUCACUUGUGUUCUAAGGAUGCGGCAAUAUCGAUACGAGAGGAACAACAAUAUGUGGUAACAACAACAAACAAGCAAUCAAGUAUAUGAAAGCCAUAACUGAAGAAGGCAUCACGCAUGAAGGGAUAACUCGGAUAUUUGGAUGACUUCAAGACGGGACAAUUGAGCAUGUAAGAAGACAAUUGACGUUUGUGAAUUCACGAUACCAAGGAAGACAUAAGGUGGCGUUUCGUGCCCUGAGCCCUUCCCCGAUGUAGCCCGUGUGAGAUGUGGUCUGAAGCGAUGUUAGGAGGGUAUCGGUCUGCGGCGCCCCAGGGGACGGUCGGGACGGUCUCGCGAUGACACCCUGUCCCGCUCCAGCCGACGGCCCGUCAAGGUAAAGUCGACAGGGGGGCACUACUGGAGCCGCUCUCGCUAUGUGCAAUCCCAUUUUAAUUCAUAUCUCACAUUUUUAUAUUAAGUUUAUGCUCCCAAUAGAAACCAGCUAUCAAAGUGGUCGAUGUUGUGGAAGCGAUCAUAUUUUUUUAUAUUUCUUUUAUUUUGGUGCCUAAACAGUUUUUCGUGGCCGGUGCUACCUGUAUGGUGUCAUUGCUUAUUGGAAUGGUCUUGGAGAUUACUUGAGUCACUGCGUGGUGGUUAUUUGUGACAGUACCCACUCGAAUUACUCACUAAGACGUGGACAAGUGGCGGAUUAUACAAAUGAACUAAAGAAAUUUUAUUUGAAGUUUCGGAAAAGAAUGCAAAUGCAACCUGUUAUUCGAAUUCAUAGAGGAUAUUGAUUGAUGGCAUUACGAAAUCGAUACUAAAACAUGCAAAUCACGAUGACGAUGCACCGGAAAGGAGGAUUUCAAAUCUGCUGCAUUUAACAAAACAAGUAAAAUAUGAGACAAUAGCAAUAAAAAUGAGGAAUUACAUUGGAAAAGUAAGGAGAAACGCGCGGGAAAAAGGAGUUGAUUAGAUUGCGAUGAGCAUUUGUACAGAUGUGGAAUAUGGAAACUAAUCUCGGAAUCGGUUUUUCUAAUUUGCUUCAACAAUUGCAAAGAUUGAUGUUUACAAAGACGUCUAUUGAGCAACCUUUACGUGACAUGGUACAGGAGCAACCCUUUCGUGACAUGGUGCAGGAGCAAACCCCUACGUGACAUGGUGCAGGAGCAACCCUUACGUGACAUGGUGCAGGAGCAGCUGCCGUCCCUUACUGUGCUAACUGUUUUAUAUAAGAAAUGAUAACCAGUCGGUUGACCGUCUACGAAAUAUCUGUAUAGGCACAAUUCAUGUUUAUUUUUUUUUGUUUGAGAGGUCUUAUUCAUUCGGUAGCACAUACAUUAUAAAUAUUCUAAGGGUGUUCACCACACCUUUCCUAUAUUCGCCAUUUACAUGAUGAUAUCGUAUUUUUUACCAUCUUUCGGGGCUGAAUACCUUGAUGAUAACUUUAUAUCUGACGAAGGCUUCUAGGAAAGGUUUUUUUGUAAGCUCUUAACAAUCAAGACUCACGAGCUUUGUUGGUUUACAGGACUUGAAGGAUUAUAUGCGCCAAGCCGGCGAAGUAACUUAUGCUGAUGCUCACAAGCAACAC